rnacentral:rRNA from 1 species
GCGAUGAAAGACGUGGUAGCCUGCGAAAAGCUUCGGGGAGUCGGCAAACAGACUUUGAUCCGGAGAUCUCUGAAUGGGGGAACCCACCUAGGAUAACCUAGGUAUCUUGUACUGAAUCCAUAGGUGCAAGAGGCGAACCAGGGGAACUGAAACAUCUAAGUACCCUGAGGAAAAGAAAUCAACCGAGAUUCCCUUAGUAGUGGCGAGCGAACGGGGAUUAGCCCUUAAGCUUCAUUGAUUUUAGCGGAACGCUCUGGAAAGUGCGGCCAUAGUGGGUGAUAGCCCCGUACGCGAAAGGAUCUUUGAAGUGAAAUCGAGUAGGACGGAGCACGAGAAACUUUGUCUGAACAUGGGGGGACCAUCCUCCAAGGCUAAAUACUACUGACUGACCGAUAGUGAACCAGUACCGUGAGGGAAAGGCGAAAAGAACCCCGGAGAGGGGAGUGAAAUAGAACCUGAAACCGUAUGCGUACAAGCAGUGGGAGCCUACUUGUUAGGUGACUGCGUACCUUUUGUAUAAUGGGUCAGCGACUUAUAUUCAGUGGCAAGCUUAACCGUAUAGGGUAGGCGUAGCGAAAGCGAGUCUUAAUAGGGCGUUUAGUCGCUGGGUAUAGACCCGAAACCGGGCGAUCUAUCCAUGAGCAGGUUGAAGGUUAGGUAACACUGACUGGAGGACCGAACCCACUCCCGUUGAAAAGGUAGGGGAUGACUUGUGGAUCGGAGUGAAAGGCUAAUCAAGCUCGGAGAUAGCUGGUUCUCCUCGAAAGCUAUUUAGGUAGCGCCUCAUGUAUCACUCUGGGGGGUAGAGCACUGUUUCGGCUAGGGGGUCAUCCCGACUUACCAAACCGAUGCAAACUCCGAAUACCCAGAAGUGCCGAGCAUGGGAGACACACGGCGGGUGCUAACGUCCGUCGUGAAAAGGGAAACAACCCAGACCGCCAGCUAAGGUCCCAAAGUUGUGGUUAAGUGGUAAACGAUGUGGGAAGGCUUAGACAGCUAGGAGGUUGGCUUAGAAGCAGCCACCCUUUAAAGAAAGCGUAAUAGCUCACUAGUCGAGUCGGCCUGCGCGGAAGAUGUAACGGGGCUCAAACCACACACCGAAGCUGCGGGUGUCACGUAAGUGACGCGGUAGAGGAGCGUUCUGUAAGCCUGUGAAGGUGAGUUGAGAAGCUUGCUGGAGGUAUCAGAAGUGCGAAUGCUGACAUGAGUAACGACAAUGGGUGUGAAAAACACCCACGCCGAAAGACCAAGGGUUCCUGCGCAACGUUAAUCGACGCAGGGUUAGUCGGUUCCUAAGGCGAGGCUGAAAAGCGUAGUCGAUGGGAAACAGGUUAAUAUUCCUGUACUUCUGGUUACUGCGAUGGAGGGACGGAGAAGGCUAGGCCAGCUUGGCGUUGGUUGUCCAAGUUUAAGGUGGUAGGCUGAAAUCUUAGGUAAAUCCGGGGUUUCAAGGCCGAGAGCUGAUGACGAGUCGUCUUUUAGAUGACGAAGUGGUUGAUGCCAUGCUUCCAAGAAAAGCUUCUAAGCUUCAGGUAACCAGGAACCGUACCCCAAACCGACACAGGUGGUCGGGUAGAGAAUACCAAGGCGCUUGAGAGAACUCGGGUGAAGGAACUAGGCAAAAUGGCACCGUAACUUCGGGAGAAGGUGCGCCGGCUAGGGUGAAGGAUUUACUCCGUAAGCUCUGGCUGGUCGAAGAUACCAGGCCGCUGCGACUGUUUAUUAAAAACACAGCACUCUGCAAACACGAAAGUGGACGUAUAGGGUGUGACGCCUGCCCGGUGCCGGAAGGUUAAUUGAUGGGGUUAGCGCAAGCGAAGCUCUUGAUCGAAGCCCCGGUAAACGGCGGCCGUAACUAUAACGGUCCUAAGGUAGCGAAAUUCCUUGUCGGGUAAGUUCCGACCUGCACGAAUGGCGUAACGAUGGCGGCGCUGUCUCCACCCGAGACUCAGUGAAAUUGAAAUCGCUGUGAAGAUGCAGUGUAUCCGCGGCUAGACGGAAAGACCCCGUGAACCUUUACUGUAGCUUUGCACUGGACUUUGAGCCUGCUUGUGUAGGAUAGGUGGGAGGCUUUGAAGCGUGGACGCCAGUUCGCGUGGAGCCAUCC